GCUGGAAACGGCGUCUAAUACUGGAUACGAGCAGCGACCGCAUGGUCAGUUGCUGGAAAGACUGGUUCGGUGAUGGAUGGACUCGCGGCCUAUCAGCUUGUUGGUGAGGUAAUGGCUCACCAAGGCGACGACGGGUAGCCGGCCUGAGAGGGUGACCGGCCACACUGGGACUGAGACACGGCCCAGACUCCUACGGGAGGCAGCAGUGGGGAAUAUUGCACAAUGGGCGCAAGCCUGAUGCAGCAACGCCGCGUGAGGGAUGACGGCCUUCGGGUUGUAAACCUCUUUUAGUAGGGAAGAAGCCUUCGGGUGACGGUACCUGCAGAAAAAGCACCGGCUAACUACGUGCCAGCAGCCGCGGUAAUACGUAGGGUGCAAGCGUUGUCCGGAAUUAUUGGGCGUAAAGAGCUCGUAGGCGGCUUGUCGCGUCUGCUGUGAA
rnacentral:rRNA from 1 species